CGGUUGAUCCUGCCGGACCCCACUGCUAUCGGGAUGGGANUAAGACAUGCUAGUCGUGCNUCUCCUANCCAUGGUGGAGACGCGGCGCACAGCUCAGUAACACGUGGCUAACCUGCCCUUGGGACGGAAACAUCCCCGGGAAACUGGGGCCAAUUUCCGAUAGGUGAAGAACCCUGGAAUGAGUCCUCGCCCAAAAGGCGCCUAGAGCAUGCUUCUAGGUGUUGNNCAAGGAUGGGGCCGCGGCCGAUCAGGUUGUUGGUGAGGUAAUGGCUCACCAAGCCUUUAACCGGUACGGGCCGUGGGAGCGGUAGCCCGGAGAUGGGCACUGAGACAAGGGCCCAGGUCCUACGGGGCGCAGCAGUCGCGAAAACUUCGCAAUAAGCGAAAGCUUGACGGGGCCAUCCCGAGUGCCAUCUGCUGAGGAUGGCUUUUGCCCAGUGUAGAUAGCUGGGGGAAUAAGGAGAGGGCGAGUCUGGUGUCAGCCGCCGCGGUAAUACCAGCUCUCCGAGUUGUGGGGAUGUUUAUUGGGCCUGAAGCAUCCGUAGCCGGCUGGGCAAGUCCCCUGUUAAAUCCAGCGAUUAAUCGUUGGCCUGCGGGGGAUACUGUCCGGCUAGGGGGCGGGAGAGGCCGUCGGUAUUCUCGGGGUAGGGGUGAAAUCCUAUAAUCCCGGGAGGACCACCAGUGGCGAAGGCUGUCGGCUAGAACGCGCCCGACGGUGAGGGAUGAAAGCUGGGGGAGCGAACCGGAUUAGAUACCCGGGUAGUCCCAGCUGUAAGCGAUGCAGGCUAGGUGUUAGGGCGGCUACGUGCCGCUCUAGUGCCGCAGGGAAGCUGUUAAGCCUGCCGCCUGGGGAGUACGGCCGCAAGGCUGAGACUUAAAGGAAUUGGCGG
rnacentral:rRNA from 1 species